AGGCACUUAAGUGCUCAUAGAGACAAGAAGAGCUUGCUGUAGGCUGUGGCAAAGUUACCUCACAAAGGAGGCAGGGCCCUCACAGACAUGGCUUUGAACUUCAUUCGCCAACAGAGCUUCAAGACCCAAGCUGGCAUGAGGCGUCGAGCUCGAAAAAUUGGUGUUCUCAUCACUGAUGACGUUGAGGCCCCAUCAAAGCAACUCAAGUAUAAAGGCAUGGAGCCGUUUGCUGUUGGUAUUAAAAAUGCUGAUGAAGCUAAGUUAAAAGAUGACUGCAGCAGACCCCGAUGAUCCCCACACAUGCAACUGGCAGAUUUUGCGUCCCUCUCCAGGAUCCUGGAUGACCUCACCCUCAACUUGUGUAACAGCGUCAGAAGUCCAGGU